GAGGUUGCCUGGAUGAUAUCCACAUC
rnacentral:piRNA from 1 species